rnacentral:rRNA from 1 species
GGCGGCAGGCCUAACACAUGCAAGUCGAGCGGUAGAGAGGUGCUUGCACCUCUUGAGAGCGGCGGACGGGUGAGUAAUACCUAGGAAUCUGCCUGGUAGUGGGGGAUAACGUUCGGAAACGGACGCUAAUACCGCAUACGUCCUACGGGAGAAAGCAGGGGACCUUCGGGCCUUGCGCUAUCAGAUGAGCCUAGGUCGGAUUAGCUAGUUGGUGAGGUAAUGGCUCACCAAGGCUACGAUCCGUAACUGGUCUGAGAGGAUGAUCAGUCACACUGGAACUGAGACACGGUCCAGACUCCUACGGGAGGCAGCAGUGGGGAAUAUUGGACAAUGGGCGAAAGCCUGAUCCAGCCAUGCCGCGUGUGUGAAGAAGGUCUUCGGAUUGUAAAGCACUUUAAGUUGGGAGGAAGGGCAUUAACCUAAUACGUUAGUGCUUUGACGUUACCGACAGAAUAAGCACCGGCUAACUCUGUGCCAGCAGCCGCGGUAAUACAGAGGGUGCAAGCGUUAAUCGGAAUUACUGGGCGUAAAGCGCGCGUAGGUGGUUUGUUAAGUUGAAUGUGAAAUCCCCGGGCUCAACCUGGGAACUGCAUCCAAAACUGGCAAGCUAGAGUAUGGUAGAGGGUAGUGGAAUUUCCUGUGUAGCGGUGAAAUGCGUAGAUAUAGGAAGGAACACCAGUGGCGAAGGCGACUACCUGGACUGAUACUGACACUGAGGUGCGAAAGC